CACGGGGGGAGCAAGCGUUGUUCGGAAUCACUGGGCGUAAAGGGCGUGUAGGCGGUCAGGUUAGUGAGAUGUGAAAUGCCCCGGCUCACCCGGGGACCUGCAUCUCAAACUGCCUGGCUUGAGUAUGGGAGAGGAUGAGGGAAUUCCUGGUGUAGCGGUGAAAUGCGUAGAUAUCAGGAGGAACACCGGUGGCGAAAGCGCUCAUCUGGCCCAAUACUGACGCUGAGGCGCGAAAGCGUGGGGAGCAAACAGG
rnacentral:rRNA from 1 species